rnacentral:tRNA from 1 species
CCGGGAAUAGCUCAGUUGGAAGAGCAUCAGACUGUAAUUGGUAAUUUACAUCAGAGUAAUCUGAUGGUCGACGGUUCGAUCCCGUCUUUCCGGA